GUGGGGAAUUUUGGACAAUGGGCGCAAGCCUGAUCCAGCAAUGCCGCGUGCAGGAAGAAGGCCUUCGGGUUGUAAACUGCUUUUGUACGGAACGAAACGGUCCGGGUUAAUACCCUGGGCUAAUGACGGUACCGUAAGAAUAAGCACCGGCUAACUACGUGCCAGCAGCCGCGGUAAUACGUAGGGUGCAAGCGUUAAUCGGAAUUACUGGGCGUAAAGCGUGCGCAGGCGGUUUUGUAAGACAGGCGUGAAAUCACCGGGCUCAACCUGGGAAUUGCGCUUGUGACUGCAAGGCUGGAGUGCGGCAGAGGGGGAUGGAAUUCCGCGUGUAGCAGUGAAAUGCGUAGAUAUGCGGAGGAACACCGAUGGCGAAGGCAAUCCCCUGGGCCUGCACUGACGCUCAUGCACGAAAGCGUGGGGAGCAAACAGGAUUAGAAACCCCAGUAGUCC
rnacentral:rRNA from 1 species